GAGAAUGGAUAAUCCAAGAAAGCAGGGCAAC
rnacentral:piRNA from 1 species